GACGAAGGGGGCUAGCGUUGUUCGGAAUACUGGGCGUAAAGCGAGUGUAGGCGGUUGCCCAAGUCAGGUGUGAAAGCCUUGAGCUCAACUCAAGAAAUGCACUUGGUACUGGGUGGCUAGAGGACCGGAGAGAUAGUGGAAUUCCCAGUGUAGUGGUGAAAUACGUAGAGAUUGGGAAGAACACCAGUGGCGAAGGCGGCUACCU
rnacentral:rRNA from 1 species